rnacentral:tRNA from 1 species
GGCUACCUGGCGCAAUGGUAGCGCGUUUGGCUUCGAUCGCCGACGGCUCCAGUCACGUGACACCAAAAGGUUGCAGGUUCGAGUCCUGCGGUGGUCA